UACCAUGUUAGAUUAACACUUUACCUAAAUGCUCAAGCUAUUAUGUUGCAAGCUAAGUGCCAACAAUAUUAUCAAGCCUCAACAAUGAUUUCAACAUUGUGUCCCUGUUGAUAAUGGAAUCUAUCAAAUAGACCCAAGUGCUUGACUGAUGCGGAAGACGAAUAUAUAUACAUGCAGUAACCGGUUGAUGGAUUGAUUGAUUAGACUUAUUCUUUUGCAUUCAAAGCAUGCUCAGAAAAAUAUCAGGAUUGGAGAUGCCUUGGCUACUCCUUGCACAAAAAUCAAAUAAGAUAUAGGUUUUACUCCGAGAUGGAUGGGUCGUACAGGUUGCUGCUUAUCUGAGAUGAAUCCACACACAAAAUCUCAGGUUCCCUUUUCCCAGCCAUUUGCCCCUCAUGGAUAGAUAGUUAUUGCUGCCCAAGAAUUGGUGAGGAUCUCAAGUACCUUCAGUUUAUGGAAUGAAUAUAUUCAUAUGAAUGAGAUGAAACACAAUGAAAUAUCUGGAAGUAAAGGUAAUAGUUAUUCCUAUUUUAUUCUUCAUUACUCCAUCCAAUAUGUAAAAUGAAAGGAAUAACAUUCUCAUGGUGAAAUUUGAGAAUAAUUAUUCAUUGCCUUAUUCUCCAUUUAUAAAAAAAAUUUGACUAUUAUUUACUCC